GUUAUUUGAGUGAGAAGACCGGUAAAAAAAACAAUAAGAAAUCUACAAUCAAUUUGUCUCCCUUGAAAAAUUGAUAGUAUUAAUCAUAGAGAUAAGAAAAUAGAGUGAUAGAUUACGAAGCAACAACUUGCUUUGAAUUGAUUUUGAAUGAAGAAAGAAGACGAUGGGUUAAUCAAAGAGUGUGUAUAAGUAAAAUAAGGGAAAUUCGUGUGUGUCUUAUGGUAUCCAUACCUUAAGUACAUGGCUGCUAGUGAUUGGUCCAUGUAGGAUUAAUGAAAACCUGUUACCUGCUACCUGUUUAACUGGUCAUCCAAUUCAAAUCUCAAACUAACUCUCACUCUCUCACACUAACAAUGUUAGUUUCGUCUCUCUCUCUCU
rnacentral:lncRNA from 1 species